UACGUAGGGGGCGAGCGUUGUCCGGAUUUAUUGGGCGUAAAGGGCACGCAGGCGGUCCAUUAAGUUCAGGGUGACAGUCAUCAGCUUAACUGAUGAAGUGCCUUGAAAACUGGUGGACUUGAGAGCGAGAGAGGGACACGGAACUCCGGGUGGAGCAGUGAAAUGCGUAGAGAUCCGGAAGAACACCAAAGGCGAAGGCAGUGUCCUGGCUCGUUUCUGACGCUCAGGUGCGAAAGCGAGGGGAG
rnacentral:rRNA from 1 species